UACGGAGGGUGCGAGCGUUGUCCGGAAUCACUGGGCGUAAAGGGUGCGUAGGCGGUUUGGUAAGUCUGAUGUGAAAUCUAUGGGCUCAACUCAUAGUCUGCAUCGGAAACUGCCGGGCUUGAGUGUGGGAGAGGUGAGUGGAAUUCCUGGUGUAGCGGUGAAAUGCGUAGAUAUCAGGAGGAACACCUGUGGCGAAAGCGGCUCACUGGACCAUAACUGACGCUGAUGCACGAAAGCUAGGGGAGCAAACAGG
rnacentral:rRNA from 1 species